CUUCUGUAAAAAGGAACAGACAACCACAAAACAUCAGCUGAUGAAUUUCAAAAUUAAAAUUAAGUGAGCGACUUUAGAAAAUCCCUGUGAUGAAGACCACCACUGUGAACAACAAGCCAUUAGCAAGAUGUCAACAACAUGAGUGCCUUGAGAUUGCAGCCUUGCUACACAGAAUCCAGCUCUCUGACAGAAUGACGUGUUAUGGCUGUGGUGGCGGGUUGCUCAACACAAGAUCACACUGGGAGUAUAAAGGGGAAAUUGCAACAGGGUAUUUUCAUGAACUUCUGCUUAACUUGUAAAUGUGCUUUACACAAUCCCAUGUCCAUGAAAGUUUAAAUCAUCUAAACUCUGAAACCUCAGGAAAGAAAUCAGUUGAAAGCUGGGGAUGACAGCAGAAAAUUUCCAGUGAAUGUGUAAUCCCAUAAAAAAAUCGGUUAAUACACAAAAUAUGUGUAUGUGAAAAGUAUUUUUAAAAAUAUAAAAAAAAUGUAAUAAUAAUGAUGUAGUCUGUGUUUGUGGAAAGCCUUUUGGCACUGAUCACAGCUCUGAGUCUUUGUUGAUACAUCAGCUUUAUAGAUUUUGGGACUUUCCCUCAAUCUUCCCUGUUGUUUUACUCACGCUCAGCCAUAUGAGUAGGAUUAUUAAAGUGUCUUUCAGUGAUUUAAUGUGUAAUACGUAAGAAUUUAAGUUUAAAAACACUCAACUAAACUAUAAUUAUGAGCCGGUUUAGUUGCCAGCCCGCCCAGUUCUGGUUCCAGUGCCACCCCGCUAGCAUUUCCCACACAACCCUCCCCGCCCCGGGCCUGAAAACCUCCCCCUGGCAGUGUAAACACCAACAUCCCCGGUGCUCCGAGCUCCCAGGCCGGGCUGAGUCAGCUGAACUAAUUCCUAUUGGUACAUGGCUAACUGAGCUAACCUCAGCUACAGUUAGUAGCAGUUAGCGGUUACUCUGGUGAUAUGUGUUGUGAUAUUUGUUUGGACUAUGAAUUGAAGUCAAAAUCAUCCCAGGUGUGCAGCAGGUAGGCUAUUUCAAGCCAUGAGCCACCUGUGAAUUCUGUGUGGGGAUGUUGCCUUUUUUGAAAGUUCAGUUCUGUAAUUCUGUCCUUUGUUUACUGGUCUCCUCAAUAACUGCAAUCAAUCUUGCUCAACCACUAUGUUUGACCGGAAAGAUCAAGAAGUUUCCGGAAUUUCUAUUAUCUUUAAUAUUUCUCAAUCACAGAGCUUGCCUGCGAGCUCCUGGUAGCUGCUCUGGUUGCUGCAGUUGUCAUUCUGGGCCUGAUUGCAUGUAUCCUAUUUGUGCAUUUGUGACUCAAUUUGUAGAGAUCAAAGGGUGUUUUGUUAAACAAAUUUGUAAUAUCAUUGCAAAGGGCAUGAAUACUCUUUUCAAAGCAUUGUGGCUUUUACCUGGAAUUAGAAAGCUGUGAUAAUGUGUAUACGUGCCACCGUCCAUGAGGAGAUCUAAAUGCUGUUGUCUGUACUGUAUACACAACAAACACUGUAUGACACAACACACAGCAGAAGAGAAAAAGACAUGCAGGCUUUUCUUUCUCUGUUUCUGUGUGUAACCUGUAAUAGAACAAAAUAAGUAUAUCAAAUCAAAUAUUUUAUGUAUUUGAAAUAUUCUGAACCCUCAGAAGUGAAACUGGGUCUUAUGGACAUGCAAUAAGUACUAUAAGACUAGUAUAAGUCUAAUAUAGUAAGAGGGAGACAUACAGUAUGAUGUUUUGAUUUAUAUUUAAUAAAUAUACUGUAUAUUGUUUACUUAAAAAGUGUCUGAAACAGAUUAGAGGAUUCAAAUGAUUCCCUUUCUUGAAACCAUUUACUGUUUACAGGGCCAAUAUUGUUGACUGUAUCAUCAGAUUAACUCAGUUGUAUGUUAGCAUCAAUAACAUCCCACAUUCAAGGCAAACUAUACCUCCAACUAUACAUUAAAUCUUACCAUUAAAUUUUGUAUAA